AAGGAUCUGUGUCCACCCUCCCCGUUUUCUCCAUGAAAUAGAAAAAGGGCUGUCGGAAAGUCUAUUAUGUUCCUAGCUAUUUUAUUGUGAAGCUUGCAUGUUAGUGGCGUUACUUUCUUUUUCCGGUGUGUAUCCGCACUGAGACUGAGACCGCACGUUACUAGACGGUCACCCGCCGUGUGCGUACAUGAAUAAGAAACCACACACAUGCAUCCAUACACACGCCAAUCUCACACACACAAACACAUUUACUGCACUCAUCCACUUACAGAUAACACAAACCAUCCUGCUACCCAACUACAAUAAAGAAGUUCAAGGAACUGUCUUCUCUGUGCCCUUCUCUCUGACCGGAGCUCUGUCGAAAGAAAGUUAUCAAACCAGCAACAUACACAUCCACAUCAGAGUGUCCUGCUCUAUCACGAGGGCCGACUCUCUUCUGGCUGCUGUGCAGGACCAGCUGUUAGAUGCUGAACAGCAGAAACAAAGCGAUGCAGCUUCAACAUGCUGCAGGUCUUCCAGGAACAGAGCGAGCGGCUGGACGGGCGGAGAUGAAACCAGCAGAGAUCUGUGAUGGAGGGUCUCCGGGUGGACUGGACAGGAUGGCAUGAAAAGCCAAAGUGAUAUGAUCAUCAUAUACACAUGUAAAGUUAUUUUAAACGACUGUAUUCACUAUAAAAAAUAAAUGACUGUGUGAAGA